ensembl:rRNA 5S_rRNA 5S ribosomal RNA
GUUUAUGACCAUGUCACCCUGAAUGUACCCCAUCUUGUCUGAUCUCGGAACUGCUAAGCAGGGUCAGGCCUGGUUAGUACUUGGAUGAGAGACCACCUGAGAAUACCAGGUGCUGCAGGUG